rnacentral:rRNA from 1 species
GGUAACCUGCCUGUAAGACUGGGAUAACUCCGGGAAACCGGGGCUAAUACCGGAUGCUUGAUUGAACCGCAUGGUUCAAUUAUAAAAGGUGGCUUUUAGCUACCACUUACAGAUGGACCCGCGGCGCAUUAGCUAGUUGGUGAGGUAACGGCUCACCAAGGCAACGAUGCGUAGCCGACCUGAGAGGGUGAUCGGCCACACUGGGACUGAGACACGGCCCAGACUCCUACGGGAGGCAGCAGUAGGGAAUCUUCCGCAAUGGACGAAAGUCUGACGGAGCAACGCCGCGUGAGUGAUGAAGGUUUUCGGAUCGUAAAACUCUGUUGUUAGGGAAGAACAAGUACCGUUCGAAUAGGGCGGUACCUUGACGGUACCUAACCAGAAAGCCACGGCUAACUACGUGCCAGCAGCCGCGGUAAUACGUAGGUGGCAAGCGUUGUCCGGAAUUAUUGGGCGUAAAGCGCGCGCAGGCGGUUUCUUAAGUCUGAUGUGAAAGCCCCCGGCUCAACCGGGGAGGGUCAUUGGAAACUGGGGAACUUGAGUGCAGAAGAGGAGAGUGGAAUUCCACGUGUAGCGGUGAAAUGCGUAGAGAUGUGGAGGAACACCAGUGGCGAAAGCGACUCUCUGGUCUGUAACUGACGCUGAGGCGCGAAAGCGUGGGGAGCGAACAGGAUUAGAUACCCUGGUAGUCCACGCCGUAAACGAUGAGUGCUAAGUGUUAGAAGGGUUUCCGCCCUUUAGUGCUGCAGCAAACGCAUUAAGCACUCCGCCUGGGGGAGUACGGUCGCGAGACU